rnacentral:piRNA from 1 species
UAGUAAUCUCUGGUGUUAGGUGUUCUGUC